CCUUCGAUAGCUCAGUUGGUAGAGUGGGGGACUGUAGAUUUAUAAUUGUGAUCCCUAGGUCGCUGGUUCGAAUCCGGCUCGAAGGA
rfam:Nematostella vectensis strain CH2 x CH6 NEMVEscaffold_1534_Cont37084, whole genome shotgun sequence.